UCCGUGCAAAGAAAAAAGAGGCGAGGCGGCUAGGGAAAAACCCUAGCGCCGCCUCUAUCACUGCCCCACCCCCCCUUUUCCUCAUCGUAUCCCGUCAUGGGAUGGAGUGUAGAACAUGGAAAAUCAGAGGAGAAGAUGAAGCAUUAAUUUCAUCGUCCUUUUCCAUACGUUUUCUCCACAAAAUUCGUCCAAAUGCUCUCUUAAGAAAGGAGGCUCCAAGUCCAUUCUUGCUCCGGUUGCACUCAAAAAAGGUGGUGAAAUUGAACAAGGGGAUGAAGGAAGUGAAGACAUGACUUAGGAGGAUUGGAUUAAUGUUUUUGAAAAUUGAAAACUUGUGUGUUCCACCUCUUGAAUGGUCAAACAUUAUCUUGAUAUUUUGCUUUUAUGGAUAUUACUUGACCUCUUGGAUCUUGGAUUAUUAUUUUGGUAUGACGUUGGAUCUUAGAUUAUUAUUUGGGUAUGACGGUGGAUCUUGGAUUAUUAUUUUGAUUAUGAAUAGUUUCUUCUUGUGAUUGAUU